rnacentral:lncRNA from 1 species
UCCGGCAGCUACCGGGAUGGGUUUGGACACCACAAGACUCGCGCCUUCCCUCCAUCCUGCCUCCCGUCUGUAGCCCGGCUUCGUGGAGAUUGUGCGGGCCAGUUCUUCCGGCUCACCCAAUCCCGGAUGCCUGCGAAGCACCAGCCGCAGGAGCGUGCAUCACACUUUAUUAAGCAAGAAGGCGGGCAGCAUCCCUUCAAUCGCCAUACACAGCGUCGUCGUUGCUGUCGCUGUGGGCGGAUGACGAGAGCUCUUCGCGGGGCGUGCACACCGGGCAGAGCCGUUGCAUGUCGUCCCAGCACGACCGGCAGUACAGGGCCUUGCAGUCUGGUGUGGGGCACACGUAGGAAUCCGGCGUCUCCAUUGCCUGGCACACCACACAGCGCUGACGCAUGAAGCGGUGCAGGAGAGGGCACCGGCGAUACAGAGCCUCCACCAGGUAGUGGGGCUGUUGGAAGAUGAGGUGGAUUGGUUAAUGCCAAGUGGGCUGAGCAGAAAGGGUUGUCAGGGGCACUGGGCAGCUCUUAAUGUAUGAAGUCCCAAGGCCUGACAAUGCUAUAUUGGAGGAAGCUGGGGUAGACAAGAAGAGCCCUCGAGGGCGAUAUUGAGAUAAAUCGAAAGAGUCUUCUUCUCCAUGAUGGGCUGCGGAGCCUGGCGUGCCCAAACUUACUCCCAAGGAUGACCCACAACAAUUCUGUACACCUGUGGAGCGGCUUAAUUUGGUACUUAGGCUUAGAAGGGAGGAGGGCACAAUUUACACCUUACUGGGCUGGAGAGAUGGUUCCGUGGUUAAGAACCCUGACUGCUCUUCCAGAGGACCCAGGUUUGAAUCCCAGCACCCACAUAGCUAACAACUGCCUGUCACUUGAGUUCCAGGGAACUGGAUGAUCUUCUGGCCUCCCUGGACACCAGCCACCCAUGAGGACACAGACAUAUGCAUAGGCAAAACACCCAUACACAUUAAAUAAGUGCAAAUUU